rfam:Candidatus Roizmanbacteria bacterium RIFCSPLOWO2_01_FTLL_37_12 rifcsplowo2_01_scaffold_448, whole genome shotgun sequence.
CGGGGAUUGGCGCAGCGGUAGCGCGCACGGUUCGGGACCGUGAGGCCGUGAGUUCAAAUCUCACAUCCCCGA